rnacentral:rRNA from 1 species
GACGAACGCUGGCGGCGUGCUUAACACAUGCAAGUCGAACGGAAAGGCCUCUUUCGGGGGGUACUCGAGUGGCGAACGGGUGAGUAACACGUGAGUAACCUGCCCUUGACUUUGGGAUAACUUCAGGAAACUGGGUCUAAUACCGGAUAUGAGCUCCUGCUGCAUGGUGGGGGUUGGAAAGUUUCUGCGGUUGGGGAUGGACUCGCGGCUUAUCAGCUUGUUGGUGGGGUAGUGGCUUACCAAGGCUUUGACGGGUAGCCGGCCUGAGAGGGUGACCGGCCAAAUUGGGACUGGGAUACGGCCCAGACUCCUACGGGAGGCAGCAGUGGGGAAUAUUGCACAAUGGGUGGAAGCCUGAUGCAGCAACGCCGUGUGCGGGGUGACGGCCUUCGGGUUGGAAACCGCUUUCGCUCAUGACGAAGCUUUGUGUGACGGUAGUGGGUAAAGAAGCACCGGCUAACUACGUG